rnacentral:tRNA from 1 species
AAGACACUAGUAAAAUAGCCAUUACACCACCUUGUCAAGGUGGAAUUGUAGGUUGAAUCCCUGCGUGUCUUA